rnacentral:lncRNA from 1 species
GGGGGUGUUGCCAGUCACAGAACUGGCGGCUCGGCGCCCGGCGGGCAGCGGCCCGGUUAUAAAGCGGGCGGUGCGGUCCGCAGCCUGCCCCCUCCUCUCGCCCCGUCGGCGCGGCGGCAGGGAAAUGCUGGCCUCGGCGGUGAAAGAUUAUUUCACAUGAGCAGCACUCUUCAAGAAAGCUGUUGCCAGAUAAGGUGGCAACUGUACUUUGAAGAGGAACAAUGAGAAGUGACAGACAAGACCGUGUUUACCAAACUGAAUAGAAGACUCCCAGGUUUCCAUUCACUGCUCGGUUACCUAAGCCCAGGGAAUCAAAGCUGGAGUGCCGUUUCACCAACCCGGAUCAGUAACAAAGUGGUAACUACUUCAGAAUAUAAUAACAUGCCGUGAAAUCUUACUUCAGGUUGGGGUGUGAACGCAGCAUGACUUGAAUGUGAAAUCCUUCUACUUCAGCCAGGCCAGAAAUGUAGAAAUAGGAAGAAGAUGUUCUUGUUCUGCAACUUAGAGAAGACCUAAAUUUGGCAGCUGUGCUGUACACAGAAUGGCAUGGGACUUGUGUAUGUGCAGAGCUCUGAACCACAGUCCUGAAAGAAGCUAAGUCCUGGAGCAUCGUUGCAACCCACCCUAUCCAGAGAAGGCCACUGGAAAUAGGAAUCUUUUCCCAUUUUUGUCUCUAAUGCUGCAGUGCUGGCAGAGUUGGUACCUUGGGUAUAGGACAGGACAAGCCACCCUCAGUGCAUUGCUUGUGAGCUUUGAUAAAGUGCUCAAUUUUCAUUACUUUUGUGCUGUGCAAAUACACUUGAUGCUACAGUCCUGAACCCAAAUAUUUAUAGAGCUGAGGUCUAGAACAAUCCUGCUGUCUGCCUACAACAUCAGCCAUUUCUUUGUAGAUGUGAACAGCAUGGACCAGCACUGCCAGGUGGGAGUUUGAACAAGUUCAGCAGGAAAGAAUGAGAACAGAACAUGCAUGCUAUAUGUGUAUAAUGGGAUUGUUUCUCCAUUCUGUCACAGAUAUAUCAAGCCAUUGAUGCAGAUUUAUGCUUGAGAACAACAUUUUAACAGAAUUUGUGACACACAAAUGACAAACAAGCAGACUGUACUUACACGUGUAGAUGUAUAUACAGAAUGUAAACACUAUAUAAAAAGGGCUACUAGAUACAAUAUUUAUUUUAACAUAUAUUACUUAUGUGAAAUUGGGAGUGUAAGUUUUCAGUCUGUGCAUAUCAGCUGCUAUUUAUCUAUUACAUUUUUUUAUCAUGCAUAUGAUUUUUAUUUUUCUCAUCUGCAGUUAUUUUUACAUGUGAGCUCUUUUCAUCAUCAGGUUCUAGCAACAAUAUUAAUUGAAUGAGGCUACAUAACAGAUUUCUAGUUUACAUUACACAAAGUUCGUAUCCAUGAAUGUAUCUUACUAGACCAUAUAAGCAUCUUUUUUCCAUUCAAAUCCAUCAAAUGCGAACUUUAUGGACCACAGGUGCAGAAAAUAAUUGGUUCAAAUUACAGGUUUUUGUUAACUGACAGAAAAAUAUUUGCUAAUAUGUGGAGAGAAUCCUCUGUGUUAAUUUUGUCAUACAUGUAGUGACUGCAGAGUAUAUUUCCUCUUAAUGGCAGUCAGUAGGUUAGAUUGAUCUAGAAGCCCUACAGAAGUAAUACAGACCUUUUUUAUAUAUGUUAUCAAGCUUUUUAGACAUGUUUUGGGAAAUGUACCUUAGCAGUUAUACUAAGCAAUGAAAUCUUGCUAGUGCCCAAUAGGGCACACACACACAUAUAUGUACAACAUUUGGCAAAAUCCCUUUGUCUCCUGAUGGCCUACAAAAGUCGAAGGCUGAGAUUUUUUGUUGUAUCUACUUGUGCCACAAAGUAAGCGCAGGUCAGGGACCAGCUCACUGGACCACCCCCCAAAAAUAUUUCUUCUGUGCUUGGGGAAGUUUUUCAUUUUGUCUGAUUUAUUUGGCUUUCUUCAGGAUAUUUUUUUCUUUACAAGCUUCAGGAAACUGAGUUUUAAAGGGGAAUUUAUUGGUUUUGAUUUACAUUAUUAACUUUCAACAUAGUCCUUGAUCACAUAGAGAUGAGAUAGCAUGGUUUGAAAGACAAGGGCACUUGUCUUGGUAGAAGAAUUCUUUCUGAGGCAUUUAAACCUGUGACAUCCCUCCCAGCUGCCCUUUUCCUCUGCUAGGAGUUAUCGCGUAUGGAACAGUGGUGGCUGAAGCGAACACAUGUCGGCUUCUCACCUUUGGCAGCCUCAAGACUGAUGUUCUAGUGUAAAAUCUAACUGAUGGAUGUUCAUCCUGCUAUGUCAAGCUGAAGUUGAGAUACUCUCAGUAUCCACUUGUUAGAUGGAAACCACAUGUGCAAACUGCUGGCACCAUUGCUAAAUACCAGACAAGCUGUCCCUCAGAGUCCUAAGGUUUCUCGAAGAGCGAUCCUUGCUCGAAGACUGUCCUCUCUUCAGCAAGAAACACUGCUUAGAUCUUUGUGUUUGGUUUCCUCAGUAUAAAAUGUCAUGAUAAAGAGUAUUCAUUUGGUUCUGUAAGGAGAGAUUAAUAAACAUGGGCAAAAAUCCAACUGCAACUUCAUUUCACCAAAAAUGCAGAUUUAAGUCAGCUGACAUUCUUUACAAUGUUACAGCUUUCCUCAGCAAAUCUUUUUCAAUUAAAAAAAACUAAACACAUUUGUUACAGUGACUGUUUCAUUUAGCAUUUUCUAAAGAGAUGUUUUCAGAUCUGUAUUUUAAUUAUAUUCUUAAUGUAAAUAAAACAUGAAA